AUAUGGGACAAUAUUAUUGAUAUGCGCACUUGCUUGCAGAAAGUGCUACGAAGGUACCAAUUAAAUGCAUAUGUCGUGGAGCUAGAUAAAUCACGGGUGAUUGAGGCCCUGAGAUUUCAUCCCAGAGGGCAUGAAAAGAUUGGUGCUGGAAUAAGAGAUAUAAAGAUCGGACAUCAUCCCAGUCACCCAGGCACAAGGUGCUUCAUUCUGGUAAGGAACGACGGUACCAGUGAAGAUGUCUCUUACAAGAAAUGUGUCCAGGGUGCUGCGGAUUCUAUCUCGCCUCAGCUUGGACGCUAUGUAGAGAGGAUAUUACAGAACAGAGCAAGUUGGUCACACUAG
rnacentral:rRNA from 1 species